UUUAACCUUUAAAGAAGAAAUAAGGCGUGUUUAUUAAGUCAGAGGCAUGUUAGUAGCAAACAUGUUCUCCACAUAUGCAAACUAUAAUGUGUCAUGAAUAAACAACGCUCAUACUAUAAGCUACUAAUUGAAAUGUGAAACAUUCUACAUGUUGAAUAAUUUUAUUUUUAAAACAAUACUCGACUAGCAAAACAAAAUACACACACAUGCAGGCCAAUGUAUAUUAUUUCAAAAAAAAAGUUCAUAACACUGUUACACAUGAUACAUUUUGUAUAACAAUGUCAAUCAUAAGCCUAGUCCUUUUUGGCUAGAGAUAUCAUCCAAACGAUCUGAAUCAAAGGCUAUUGACGCUUGGAUAUCACAUGAAAGUUCCCCUAGAAAUGUUUGAUAGAUUUCGAGAUCUAUUACAAAAGUGACAAGCCAUUUUGAAUACUUCGUUGUUAUUUUGCCUAUUUUAUCAAAUAUAACAUUAUUUUGACCAUAACCCACGCUGGCUAAGCUAAUAAAAGAAAUCAAUGAUUUGCAAUUCAUCUUUGUUACAAAUAUAGCUGUUUGUUUCAUAUCUUCAAAAAUCUGUGGCAGACAUCUUUGACACUUCUGGUCAUGCAGCACCAAAAAUUACGAGUGUAACACUAAAUAAUUUGACAAACUUUAUCACAUGAUUUCACAAUGCAUAUUAGAGUAAAUGUUUGUAUAGUUGUUUUGAAGAAGUCACCCCCUGUUAGAAAAUAAUACAGUUUAUAUAUCCAAAUACUUUGCUUACAUCGGCACCAUGUGUUGUGUACAUUCUUCCUUAAUACAACGUAAGCUCACAAGGUUGGUGGAUGAAUUAUUGUUCCAUUGUCUGACUGACAAAUCCUCCAUGUAGGUUUAGUUAAUAAGUCCAUAUGAAAAGAUAAAUAUUAAUCACUUGACGUCUAUAGAUUGAUGACACAUAUAAUGAUGAUACAAGUAACUUUGUUGCAUAAAGCCUUUUUGAGCUUAUGCAGCGUAAAGCAAGCAACAAACAAACAAAAUCUGAUCAAUUUUCUAAUUUUUCCUAGCAUUGUUUUGGCAUUUGGCUAUAUAAGCUAAUUUAUUUUUAUCUUCCUAAAACCCAAGCAAUUUUAAACUCAAAUAAGAAAUGUCAUCAUGAUUUUCAAAUCGUC
rnacentral:lncRNA from 1 species